rnacentral:rRNA from 1 species
AGUGGCUGGGCCAUGCUGAGCACACUGGGUCUCAGCUGAUCUCAGAAGCUAAGGAAGGUUGCGCCUGGUUAGUACUUGGAGAGGAGGACACAUGAUGGUGAGAAACCGGGAAGCAGCUCCUU